ACGAACGCUGGCGGCAGGCCUAACACAUGCAAGCCGAACGAUAAGCUUCUUCGGAAGUGGACAGUGGCAGACGGGUGAGUAACAUGUAGGUAUCUGCCCUUUGGCCUGGAAUAACACGAGGAAACUUGUGCUAAUACCGGAUAAGUCUUCACGGAGAAAGCUUUAUGCACCAUUGGAUGAGCCUGCACUUGAUUAGUUUGUUGGUAGGGUAAUGGCCUACCAAGACUGUGAUCAAUAGCUGAUUUGAGAGGAUGAUCAGCCACAUUGGGACUGAGACACGGCCCAAACUCCUACGGGAGCAGCAGUGGGGAAUCUUGC
rnacentral:rRNA from 1 species